GUGGGGAAUAUUGGGCAAUGGGCGCAAGCCUGACCCAGCAACGCCGCGUGAAGGAAGAAGGCCCUCGGGUUGUAAACUUCUUUUAUCAAGGACGAAACAAAUGACGGUACUUGAUGAAUAAGCCACGGCUAACUACGUGCCAGCAGCCGCGGUAAUACGUAGGUGGCAAGCGUUAUCCGGAUUUACUGGGUGUAAAGGGCGUGUAGGCGGGACUGCAAGUCAGAUGUGAAAACCAUGGGCUCAACCCAUGGCCUGCAUUUGAAACUGUAGUUCUUGAGUGUUGGAGAGGCAGGCGGAAUUCCGUGUGUAGCGGUGAAAUGCGUAGAUAUACGGAGGAACACCAGUGGCGAAGGCGGCCUGCUGGACAAUAACUGACGCUGAGGCGCGAAAGCGUGGGGAGCAAACAGG
rnacentral:rRNA from 1 species